UACGAAGGGGCUAGCGUUGCUCGGAAUUACUGGGCGUAAAGGGCGCGUAGGCGGCACUGUUAGUCAGGCGUGAAAGUCCUGGGCUCAACCUGGGAACUGCGCUUGAUACGGCAGAGCUAGAGGAUGGAAGAGGGUCGCGGAAUUCCCAGUGUAGAGGUGAAAUUCGUAGAUAUUAGGGAAGAACACCGGUGGCGAGGCGGCGACCUGUCCAUUACUGACGCUGAGGCGCGACAGCGUGGGGAGCAACAGG
rnacentral:rRNA from 1 species